rnacentral:lncRNA from 1 species
GAUGACACUGCAUCUGCGACCGUCAAGAAGAUCUUGUCGUCUCCGAUUAAGUUUGCAAAUUUCGAUGCCUCGAGCUUGUCCAUCACCAUGGGUCCAGGAUUUGCUAGUAUAAGCUAUUAUGCAACAGUGCAGGAAUAUCUCAGGUAAACUGGAAAAAGCCUGUUACAGUUUGUUGUUUCAAGGAAGUUUUUAUAAAUUAUUUGGGCCCCUUACCUGAAUAUUCUUUUUCUCAAGACUCCUGUGUAGUUCUUCCAAGGCAUGGAUGCCACUGGUAUCAAUGUCGGUAACAGCUGCACAACAUACACCUUAGACAUUAGGAAAUGUGAGCUUAAAUUGCAAAUGAAAACAAUGGUAAAACAACCAGUUAGAGAAGUCUUACGCGACAUCUCAACUAUCAAAAAAUGGAUUGUUGGUUGACAUGCAGCUUUUACUUUCUCUUCUUCAUCCAUCAACCAUCUCAGUAUCCUGCAAGGAUGUUAAUGACUUUGAGUAUCUUCAAAUCUUGUUCUUAGGAGAUUAGGAGUUCCUUAGAAGGGUGUUAUACCUCUCCUUGACAUAAUUAGAGUUGGAAAAGUAAAUAGCAGAAUCAACUCUCACAAUCAAAACCCCUGGAACUUUAGUUGCUUCUGGAUAUUGUAGUAUAUUUCGGUACACAUUAGUCCUCGGUACCUUCCCUAGUAUCGCCGUUCGAGGUCUAGUAACUUGUAAGAGGAUUUUAGCAAAGGAUAUUAUGACCUGCCAUGAAGUUUUCAGUGAGAAAACAGAUUUUAAUCAAACAUAAAUAGGGUAUAGUUCAUCUUCAGGAAAUUUACAUAUAGUUGGCAUAUUCUUAGUUCUUACAGCAAUUAGGAGGCCAAUCUCGACUGACGCAAAUACUACUCCAAGAAAGGCUCCCAAGCAUGCAACAAAAUCGAAUUUAUCAAUCUUCCAUACCAAAAUCGCUGCCUUAACAUCGAUAAGUCCAAUCACAGCAGAUAUAAU